rnacentral:tRNA from 1 species
GGGCAAUUUUGAGUUGGAAUCGACAAAAAACCGUUUAGUACCAAUAUAUAGAGGGGUUUUGCGAAAAUGCUUGACGUGCGGGAGGUCACAGGUUCGAGUCCUGUAUCGUCCACCA